UACAGAGGCCCCAAGCAUUAUCCGGAAUCACUGGGCGUAAAGGGUGUGUAGGCGGUUGUAUUAGUCUUUCGUGAAAGCUUUUGGGCUUAACCCAGAAAACGCGGGAGAAACGGUACAGCUACGAGGACGCGAGAGGUAGAGGGAACUCAUGGUGUAGGGGUGAAAUCCGUUGAUAUCAUGGGGAACACCAAAUGCGAAGGCACUCUACUGGCGCGCUCCUGACGCUGAAACACGAAAGCGUGGGAAUCGAACGGG
rnacentral:rRNA from 1 species